GUGAAUAAAUAGGUUAAAAAAGAAAGAAAAUAAUGAUGGUAAACGGGCAGUGAGGGGACAGUGGCGGUGGACAUGACCCUUGGCGGUGGCCAGGCUGCGGUGCAGAGGUGUCAGAAGGCUAGGGUUUUCUUUCUGAUUUUAAGUUGUGUUUGGGCUUGUAGUUUUAGUGGAUAUUGGGCUCGUUUGGGGUUUGGGUAGGUUUUGUUGAGUUUUAGGCUUAGUGGGUUUAGGGGUUUUGGGCCCAAAAUUGGGCUUGUACAUACAUCAUCUACAAGAACAUCUCAACAUGUAUCCUUUCAUGAAUUGAUCAGUCAACUAAUUUUAUUCUA